rnacentral:rRNA from 1 species
GAUGAACGCUGGCGGCGUGCCUAAUACAUGCAAGUCGAGCGAACAGACGAGGAGCUUGCUCCUCUGACGUUAGCGGCGGACGGGUGAGUAACACGUGGAUAACCUACCUAUAAGACUGGGAUAACUUCGGGAAACCGGAGCUAAUACCGGAUAAUAUAUUGACCCGCAUGGUUCAAUAGUGAAAUACGGUUUUGCUGUCACUUAUAGAUGGAUCCGCGCCGCAUUAGCUAGUUGGUAAGGUAACGGCUUACCAAGGCAACGAUGCGUAGCCGACCUGAGAGGGUGAUCGGCCACACUGGAACUGAGACACGGUCCAGACUCCUACGGGAGGCAGCAGUAGGGAAUCUUACGCAAUGGGCGAAAGCCUGACGGAGCAACGCCGCGUGAGUGAUGAAGGUCUUCGGAUCGUAAAACUCUGUUAUUAGGGAAGAACAAAUGUGUAAGUAACUAUGCACGUCUUGACGGUACCUAAUCAGAAAGCCACGGCUAACUACGUG